rnacentral:ncRNA from 2 species
AAGUGUAUGAUUCAAGCUGGUGCCCUAAAAAGGGUUAAACGGGAAACUGGUGAAUAAAUAAUCCAGUGCUGCCCUCGCAACGGUAAAUAGAAGAUUUUUAACAUAUGUCACUGUGAAAACGGGAAGGCGUUAGAAAUUACUUAAAUUCUUAAGCCCGGAUACCGGCCAAAAAUAUAUUAACUUA